GCCCGUCUAGCUCAGUUGGU
rnacentral:siRNA from 1 species